rnacentral:misc_RNA from 1 species
UCUCCGUAGGUGAACCUGCGGAGGGAUCAUUACCGAGUGAGGGUCCUUGUGGCCCGACCUCCAACCCCCUGUCUUCCGACUCUGUUGCCUCGGGGGCGACCCGGCCCUCUGGGCGUCGGGGCCCCCGGUGGCUCACACCUCAACUCUUGCAUCUGUGCGUCUGAGUAACAUAUUGAAUCAAUCAAAACUUUCAACAACGGAUCUCUUGGUUCUGGCAUCGAUGAAGAACGCAGC